UAUUAAAUUACACAUUAUAAAAAAUCAAUGAUAAGUUAAACUCUUUAAAAAGAAACAUUUUUUAAAAGGCACAUACUAAAAUACUGCAUACUGAUCAAAUCCAACAUAACCAUUUCACACAGUGCAGCACUACAUUGCAGUGUACAGCACGCUCUUGGGAUAAUUUGGUUUUGAUGUCUAAGAUAAAGCAUGUUUUUUCUAACUUUGAAAACAUACAAAAUAAUUUAAAAAUUACUUUUCAUAUAAACAUUAAAAUACAUUGGAAUGAAAAAGGUCAUAUUAUAUACUAGGAGAUAAUUAAAAUAUCCAAGCUCUCUCUCUCUUUU